GACGGAAGGUGCAAGCGUUGCUCGGAAUCACUGGCGUAAAGGGUGCGUAGGCGGCCGUGCAAGUCUGGCGUGAAGCCCGGCUCAGCCGGAAGUGCGCUCGAAACUGCGCGGCUCGAGUGCCGGAGGGAGAGUGGAAUUCCUGGUGUAGCGGUGAAUGCGUAGAUAUCAAGAGGAACACCUGCGGCGAAGGCGUGCUGGCCGACACGUGACGCUGAAGCGCGAAGCCAGGAGCGAACGG
rnacentral:rRNA from 1 species